CCUUACCUGGCCUUGACAUACUAAGAACUUUCCAAAGAUGGAUUGGUGCCUUCGGGAACUUAGAUACAGGUGCUGCAUGGCUGUCGUCAGCUCGUGUCGUGAGAUGUUGGGUUAAGUCCGCAACGAGCGCAACCCUUUUCCUUAUUUGCCAGCGGGUAAUGCCGGGAACUUUAAGGAUACUGCCAGUGACAAACUGGAGGAAGGCGGGGACGACGUCAAGUCAUCAUGGCCCUUACGGCCAGGGCUACACACGUGCUACAAUGGUCGGUACAAAGGGUUGCUACCUCGCGAGAGGAUGCUAAUCUCAAAAAGCCGAUCGUAGUCCGGAUCGCAGUCUGCAACUCGACUGCGUGAAGUCGGAAUCGCUAGUAAUCGCGGAUCAGAAUGCCGCGGUGAAUACGUUCCCGGGCCUUGUACACACCGCCCGUCACACCAUGGGAGUUUGUUGCACCAGAAGUAGGUAGUCUAACCGCAAGGAGGACGCUUACCACGGUGUGGCCGAUGACUGGGGUGAAGUCGUAACAAGGUAAGCGUAGAUGA
rnacentral:rRNA from 1 species